UACGUAGGGUGCAAGCGUUGUCCGGAAUUAUUGGGCGUAAAGAGCUCGUAGGCGGUUUGUUGCGUCGGCUGUGAAAUCCCGAGGCUCAACCUCGGGUCUGCAGUCGAUACGAGCAAACUAGAGUGUUGCAGGGGAGACUGGAAUUCCUGGUGUAGCGGUGAAAUGCGCAGAUAUCAGGAGGAACACCGAUGGCGAAGGCAGAUCUCUGGGCCGUAACUGACGCUGGAGGAGCGAAAGCGUGGGGAGCGAACAGG
rnacentral:rRNA from 1 species